rnacentral:rRNA from 1 species
AUUGAACGCUGGCGGCAGGCCUAACACAUGCAAGUCGAGCGAGCGGCGGAAGGGUGCGUAAUGUAUGGGGACUGCCCGAUAGAGGGGGAUAACUACUGGAAACGGGAGCUAAGAUCGCAUACGAUCGGAUAACCCAUAUGGGAUUAGAUAGUAGGUGAGGUACUGGGUCACUUAGGAGACGAUCCCUAGCUGGUCUGUGAGGAUGAUCAGCCACACUGGGACUGUGACACGGCCCAGCCUCAUACGGGGGCAGCAGGGGGGAAGAUUGCACAAUGGGCGCAAGCCUGAUGCAGCCAGGCCGCGUGUAUGAAGAAGGCCCUAGGGUUGUAAAGUACUUUCAGUCGGGAGGCGUUACCGACAGAAGAAGCACCGGCUAACUCCGUGCCAGCAGCCGCGGUAAUAC